UCCCCAUGGAGAGGCCUCUCCAUGGGGACGAGGACUGAACCGGGAGGCGCAGUUUGCAACGCCUCCCAGUCCAGUCUUCAUCCCCAUGGAGAGGCCUCUCCGUGGGGACGAGGACUGAACCGGGAGGCGCUGUUUGCAACGCCUCCCAGUCCAGCCUUCAUCCCCAUGGAGAGGCCUCCCCACGGUUGGGAGCACCCCCCACAACGAAGGGGCUCUCCCUCCCUUUGGCGGAGGCCUGGAGCCAUGGAAGUGACUCCCGCUUCCCUGGCUCCAAGCCUUCGCCAAAGGAAAAAAGCCCUCCCCAUUCACCCACCCACCCCCUUGCCCGUGCCUCGGCUCCUUCGUCCCGCCGGGGCGGCAACACCGGUGCCUGGCGAGGCGAAGGAGUCGGACGUGCGUGUUGCUAGGUAGAUAACAAGCUACCUAGCAACACGCACAGGGCGCUCGCCCCUUGGGAAGUGCCUCCUGCGUGUUGCUAGGUAGCUUACUAUCUACCUAGCAACACGCAGGGGCCACCUCCCAAGGGGCGAGUGCCCGGUGCAUGUUGCUAGGUAGCUUGCUAUCUACCUAGCAACACGCACGCCAGCGAGCAGGUGAACGGGGAGGGCCUUUACGGCCCUCCCCGUUCACCUGCUCGGAUUGCACGGAGGCUCGAACGAGCGGGGUUUUACUGUAGUUUGCCCUAGAGAGAAACUGCAACCUUCAUGGUUUUCUUUUUUUUCCACAUUGAUCUUUUACAUGAACUUGGGAAAACCCAUUUCUGAGUGGACCUAAUAAAGUAAACAGAUUAUGAGACCAAAUAUUUAAUACUUCAGCUUUUUUUUCCUCAUUUCAGAUAUGGUGUGAACUAAAUCACGAUUACAUUUUGGUGUUUGGGAACAGGGAAAACUUUUUGGCUAUUAGCUUAUUGUUAGAAUAAUCAGGAUUUAGAAGGCUUUUCCUGUGUAUAGCAAAUUAAGGCAGAGAAUUGGAAGUGGAUCCCAGUUUUUCUUUCCAGGUCUGGCAGUUUUUUUUUCUUCAUGUCAGGAGCAACCAGAGUUGCUUCUGGAGUGAGAGAAUUGGCUGUCUGCAAGGACGUUGCCGAGGGGAUGGCCGGAUGUUUUGAUGUUUUACCAUCCUUGUGGGAGGCUUCUCUCAUGUCCCCGCAUGGAGCUGGAGCUGACAGAGGAAGCUCAUCUGCGCUCUCCCCGGGUGGAAUUCGAACCUGGCAGCCUUCAGGUCAGCAACCCAACCUUCAAGUCACAAGGCUUUUAUCCCCUACGCUAUCGGAGGCUCCUGGUCUGGCAGUUGAAAGACUUUUACGUUGAAAAAGUUGCUGAAAUCAGCAAUGGUGAUUAUGACAACACUGAACAUGGUGGUGGUGAUGAUGGCUGUAGUAAUGGUAGUGGAAACGAUAACAUGCAGGUGAAUUUGUUGAUCAAGUGAAAUCAGAUUGAGAAUGUGAUGCUUUUCCUCACUGUUGUUUUUUCUACUAUGGUGGGGAAUGUUACAGAAAUCAUAGCGACUGGACCAGAUCAUUGGGCCAUCUACUCUAUAGUGGACACUGCCUGGAAGCAGCUCACAGGUUUUCAGGCAAGAUUAUAGAGUUGCCAGGUAUUGCACUCAGAUCUUCUGACUGCAAAGCUUAUGUUGUACUAUUUUGCUAUGGUCACAUGUCACCAGACAGAAAAAAAUGUAGUCCCAGCACAGAAAUCUGAAAGCCCAUACCUGAAAUUUCAAGGUGGCUAUAUUCAUAGAUUAUAAUUAAACACCUUUCAGGCUUGGAAGGACUUAAUUAUGUCAUCCUUAUCCUGGUGUUGUGCAUAUGUUGGCUGUGGAUGGAAGGAGUUAUAGUCAAGAACAUCAGGAGAAUUCCCAACUGAGGAAAAAUGGCCAACAAACAUCAGUAUAAAAAUUAUCUGUGUUAGCAUGAAAAGGACAGUAAUAAACUGGUUGAUUGGUUUAUUGUCACAUUUAUACUGAGCUUGUUUUUUCUAGAUUUCCAUGUGGCUAAUGGUGUCGUAGUUUGAGCAUCAGACUUUGACUUUGGGGACCAUAAUCCAAUAAUUUCUGCUCAGCCAUAAAGAACCCACAAGGAGACCUUAGGCGUUUCACACUUUCUCGGCAUCAGGGGAAUGCAAGGGCAAACCCCUCUAGGAGAUGGGCUAGGAGAUGUCACUUACUACAUAACACUGAACACAUUAGUCAACUACCUGAUGCAUUUGUCCAUAUUGGGUUGUUCUUAUUUCUCAAAGUUAAAGUAAUUCAAACAGCAUAUACACUGUUCCUUGUGUACCUUAAGUACAUUAGUUUUGAUCAUAUGAGUCUAUGUAUGCAUUUGGCUAGGCAAAAAGGCCUGAUGUGAUAAUAGGGACAUUUUGAACAUUGUUAGAAGUAUCCUGUACAUGUUGUGAUUCCACAUUAAAAGUUUUGAAACAGUCUUGUGGCCUCUUAAAAGCCUAGCAAUUAUCUUACAGGAUGGGAACGGAUCAGCUUGGUGGGAAUAGCUCAGGCGAGCACAUCUUGACACAAGUUUUAUUUGGCACAAGUGUUCAUGGGCUCCACUGUUGAACGCUUAGAAAACUUUUACAAGCAGUUUGUGAUAUAGUUUUGGAUGGGGAACACAGUCAUUUCAUCUACUGUUGUAACGUUUUGGAGAGAUAAAUUCUGGGGUUCAUACUUAGGUGAUCACUCGUAGUUCGAGGAUGAUUGUCUUCCAUCUUGGGGGGGUGUCUGUAGAUGGCUGAAGAGACCUAUUCUUGAUCUGCAUGUUCUCCCGCAGUGAGGACACCGGUUUCCAGGUGGAAGGCGGUCCCGGUCAGGGUUGGCUUGAUGCUCCUUCCUCUUGGCACGCUUCUCCCUUAAGCCCUCCAUUUGUGCCUCUUCGAACUCCGCAGCACUGCUGGUCACAGCUGACCUCCAAUUAGAGCAUUCAAGGGCCAGGGCUUCCCAGUUCUCAGUGUCUAUGCCACAAUUUUUAAGGUUGGCUUUAAGCCCAUCUUUAAAUCUCUUUUCCUGCCCACCAACAUUACGUUUCCCAUUCUUGAGUUUGGAGUAGAGUAGCUGCUUUGGGAAACGGUGAUCGGGCAUUUGGACAACAUGGCCAGUCCAGCGGUGUUUAUGGCUGGACUGGCCAUCACUUCAGUGCUGGUGGUCUUUGCUUCCUCAAGCACACUGACAUUUGUCCGUCUGUCUUCCCAAGAUAUUUGCAGGAUUUUUCUGAGGCAACGCUGAUGGAAAUGCUCCAGGAGUUGGGUGCGAUGUCUGUAGACCGUCCACGUUUCGCAGGCGUAGAGCAGGGUUGGGAGGACAAUGGCUUUAUAAACAAGCACCUUGAUAUCUCUACGGAUGUCUCGAUCAUCAAACACUCUCUGCUUCAUUCUGGAAAAUGCUGUGCUCUCAGAGCUCAGGCGGAGUUGUAUUUCAGUGUCAAUGUUGACUUUUGUGGAGAUAUGGCUGCCAAGGUAGCGGAAAUGGGCAACAUUUUCUAAUGUUACACCAUUAAGCUGUAUUCCUGGCAUUGCAGAGGGAUUAGCUGGUGUCUGUUGGAAGAGCACUUUGGUUUUCUUGAUGUUCAGUGAGAGGCCGAGCUUCUCGUAUGCUUCUGCGAAGGUGUUUAGAGUGGCUUGUAGAUCGUCUUCUGAGUGCGCAUAGACUACAUUGUCAUCGGCAUAUUGGAGUUCUAUAACAGAUGUUGUGGUGACCUUGAUUUUGGCUCUCAGUCUGCUGAGGUUAAAUAGCUUAACCUCUGUCCGAUAGAUGAUUUCCACACCGGUGGGAAGCUUCCCAUCAACAAGGUGAAGUAUCAUAGCGAUGAAGAUGGAAAAUAAGGUAGGGGCAAUAACACAUCCCUGCUUGACACCUGAUUCCACCUUAAAUGGGUCACUUUGGGAGCAGUUGCUGUCCAAGACUGUUGCCAUCAUGUCAUCAUGGAGGAGCCGCAGGAUGUUCACAAAUUUGUCAGGCACCCGAUUUUUUUGGAGGAUGGUCCAGAGAGUGCUGCGAUUCACUGUGUUGAAUGCCUUUGUAAGGUCAAUGAAUGCCAUGUACAUAGGUUGGUUUUACUGGACACUUAUACAUUAUGUGGACCUUAUGUAGCUCUUAGAAUUACCAAAUAGUUCCAAAGAGGUAACCCGUGAUUUACUUUUUCCCUUGUUAUGGAAAAUGGACUAGUUUUGCAAAAAUACAAGAAUUGUUUUUUUUUUCUAUCCACAUUAACAGGCAAGAUAUGAAGACUGACAUGUAAUACAUAAAUAUGUUACCAACUAACGGUAAUGUUUACUCGUAGAUUUUCAAGGGCCUAAGAUAUCACAUCAAGCAAUAUCUAACAUAUAUAAAGAUCUGUAAACAAACUUGAAGAAAUAAUGGAAACAGCUCCUUUAAUUUUAAUUGUAGUAGUCUGGGAUCUUGGGCAAAUUAUAUGGCAUUUCUGUUUUAGUAUUGGUAAUCUCCUGUUACAAAAAUGUUUUUUUUUUCUUUGACCAUUGAUGUUUAGAAAAGAUUGAAUAAUUCAGUUCCUUAGGAUAUUAGGAUACUAAAUUUUUCUGUGUUUAUGUGUGCUUUUAUCGCCAGUGUCUUGAAAUAUUGGAUUUGGUGUUGGCAAUUUGUAUUCUUAAUUUAUAAGCAUGCCAGUUUUUCUCCAGCACUCUGGGCUUUGCAUGAUUGCAUGAUUGAUUAAUUAGUUUAAUGUGCAGGAAUCAGGAAUGUUGUGUUUCACUGCGGAGAUCUUCAGAAAAUAUGACUAUAUUCAAUUAAAUAAUAGUUACUCAUAAUUCUGGACUUUUGCUGAGGUUUGUAUCUCCCAUAGUGUUAAUGCCUCAUUCUGUUGCAUCACUUUUGGCAAGAUUGGUAGGAAAAGAACAUCUAGAAGUGAGAGAGGCCUGUGGAAUCAUUAAGAUUAAAUAUCUGCUGAGAUGCAUUUGCCAAACCUGAGUGCUCAUUGUUCCAGUUGUGACUUCAUUUAAGAGUUUGCAAUGAAGGAGUUACUUCUUUUUAAUGGACAGCAAAAGUUAAAGGGCAACUGUCUUUGUGCUUUUUUUUUUUUUUGCUGACCACCCUGAAGCAAAUCCUGAUCCUUCUCAUCAAUUUUGAAAAGCCCUUUAAUAGGAUCAGGCGAAGAAAGCUGGGCAGUUGACUGUGUCUUGUGGAAGAAAAUCAAUGAAUUGAAAGUUAUUAAGCACUCAUAAGAAAAGGCCUUUGGGCCAUUUGCACUCAAAUGUAUCAGCUUCCAACUGAUCCAGUAAAAAGUGCUUUUGUUUGCCAGGCUUAGGAAGCAACGUGAAAUAAUACCUCCAAAAGAAGUGGUUUUCUGAUCAUUCAGUUCAUUAUAAACUGGCUGGGUUUUUUUUUAUCUGUGGGGAAGGGGGAACCACGAGAAUUUUAGCGAACAGGGCAAUCUUUGUGUUUAUAGCCUAAGAAACCAAAUCCUACUGAAUGCAGCUGUGCUGUUAGUGCUAAAACUGUAGGCACAUUGUACAGCAAGGACAAGCAAAACUUCAGUCUGUCCAGAAUGUGUUUGAAUGUCAUGUUGUAUUUACCCACACAGUUUUGACCCCUAAAUUAUCUACCGAAGUUCCCUUAUUGGGGAGAGUGUGCAAUUCUUUUGGGCUAAGGCCAGUAUAGUCAGAAGGAGGGUGUAGUAAAUAAUUAAACUGGCAGGAUAUAAUGAUUCUUUGCUGUUGAGUUCAUUCUCUCUCUCUCAUGACAGGAAAUGCAUACUGUAAAUAAAAUUCCUAGUAAUUUGUGUAACAUGCUUUUUAAUCCAAGGACCGAACAGUUGAAGUUUUGUGUCUGACCUUUUGACUUCGAGGAUUGGGUGGUCUUGUGUCCUAUGAGGCAGAGCACUUUGGCGUUAUUCCUACAUUGCAUUGUGCCAGAAUGACACAGUUUAAAUUAUAACACAUUCUACCUUUAAAAAAUAGGCUGAAAUUUAUUUUCUAGAUCAUAUUUUAAAAUUUACAAAUGUAAUUUCCAUUGUAGCAAAAUCUGCCUUAUUCACUGCAAAUGUGCAUAUAAUAAUAAUAAUAAUAAUAAUAAUAAUAAUAAUAAUAAUAAAGCACGUAACAGUGUCAUAAACACAUAAAAUACAAAUAAUUUACGUCAACAAUUAUAACAAUAGCAAUAUCAAAUAACAAAACAACAUAGACAAAAGAUAAAAAGCCCAGCUCAAUUUAAAUAAAGUACUCAAUAAAAUGCAGCAAAAUUUACUAUUAAAAUGGGCAAUACAACCACGUUAAGCAUCCCCACCACAACCAAUUAGAGUAACCUUAAAGUGUCAUAGUAAAUAUUGAUUAUCUAGACCUCUAGUUUAGCUAAUGUCUAGUCAUUGUCAAAUGCCUGUCUAAAAAAUCAUGUUUUCAGCUUCCUCUGGAAGCAUAGGAGAGUGAGGGCCUGCCUAAUUUCCCCGGGGAGGGCGUUCCAAAGCCAGGGGACCGCCACGGAGAAGGCCCUCUCCCUUGUCUCUAUUAACCGUGCUUGAGAUGGCAGCGGGACCGAGAGGAGGGCCUCCCCAGCAGAUCUUAGAGUCUGUGCAGGUUCAUGCGGGGAAUGCGGUCCCAAAGAUAGGCUGGACCCCAACCAUGAAGGGCUUUAUAGGUAAUAACUGCACUUUGAAUUGGGACCAAAAACUUGGUGGCGGCAUGGUAUGCUCCCUAAAGCCUAGUAAUCUGGCUAUUGACCUUUGCACUAAUUGUAGUUUCCGAGCCAUCUUCGAAGGCAACUCCACAUAGAGCGCAUUGCAAUAAUCCAUUCUAGAUAUAGAAUGCUUGUUUCUUGUCUGAAAACCUGAAGUUGUUGUCCUGAUCAGUCGCGAUGCCGAACGGUGCAUAGGGUGGUUACUUGUGCUUGAUGUGGUUACACUCACCCUGAGGACGCAGGUCCACAGUUUGGGGGUUCUCCUGGACUCAGCGCUGGUGCUUCAGACAGUUAAAACUUGUAUGCCAGCUGUAACCGUACUUCAAAAAGCCUGACUUAGACACAGUGGUCUCAUAUCAGAGUGUGGACCUCUGUCUUGUCUUUUUCUCUGCUGUCUAUGAAUAGAACAUUAUAUAAUAAAAAAACCUUUUUCUUGUCAAUCUUAGACAAACAUAUUAAUGCUUGUUUCUUGAAGAAAGAGGGAAUGUACAACAGUUAAACUGUGUAAGAAGUUGGUUCAAUGUGCUAGAAACAUUAAAGACUUAUUCAUAAAAGCCUUUCCUGCCAAAUCUUGUUGUUUUUUUAUUAUUAUUGUGGCCAAAAAAAUUAAAACAAUAUAUUGAGGCAAAGCAUAACACAAAUUUGUUUCUGUACUAUGCAAAUAUAGUGGGGAGUAAGGGAAAUGUUUCAUUCUUUUUUCUCAUGUUCAAUUGAUAUAUUAUUUGCAAGUGAAGAAGGGGGGGAGAGUGAAGCAGCAAUUGACAGACAGCUCUGUAUACUGAGGUAUAAGUCGUUGAUACUUGAGAUGCAAUAGACACUAAUGUGCCCAUUUUUAAGUAUUUUUAUUAAAUCAUUUUCAACAAGAUAUAAAAUAUACAUACAUGGAGGUUUUAAAGCAGGGGAAAUAAGGGGAGGGGAAAGGAGUAUGGGAUAGGGAGUGUUGACAAACAACAGGGAGUGGAGGAAAGGGAAGGGUAUUAGGCUUUCAGUCCUCUUUGUCGUGCUAGUUAGAAGUCUGUUUCUAUUCUACUUCUUGCUUUCUAGCUCCUCUCCUUUCUAGAUCCCCACGGGUGUUGUUUCUUUUCAGUAUAUAAUCAUAACAUUAUCUUCAUUUUUUCUUGUUUCAUGUAAUUGAUCAGUAAAGACCCGUCUGUGCCUUUCUUGAAUUUGGUCCAUUUUUGAUGUACAUCAGGACACUGCCUAGGAAGUCCAGGAGUGUAAUAGAAAUGCCCAGUGCUCAUCAGAAGUGCCAAUAUUACUUCCCAUUGUGGAGCAUUUGCUCCACACCUAAAGCACUCAGUGUACAUCGGAACAGUCUCCACAGAGCAGGCAUGUAGCCCGGGGGGGGGGGGGGGGCUUGAGGGGCUUCAUUCUCAGGGUGGUCCACGAGAAGGCCUUACAUUUAUAAUUUAAACUGUUAUGUUUAUUCAUAUCAUGAUCUGAUCACCAUGCUCAAUAUAUCCCAUAUGCAUGGGGGUAUUGGGAUAACAAUACAAAAGGUUUGCUAGGGUAGACCCUCUCCGGCUCAGACUCAGCCCCCCACCCCCGAACCAAAAUCCCAGCCCCUCCCAAAACAAAAUCCUGGCUACAGGCCUGCCACAGAGUGUGGAUAUUCAUCUUUACAAUUCACUAAUAUGGUUCAGUUGGCUUUUGUUAUGUACAGUAGCUACAGAUUUGUAAAAUAUACCCUACUGUAGAAUUCUGUCCAUUGUGUUCAUGUGAAAUACAUUUUUAUGUAAACAAAAUUCACACUAGAAAGUUGUGAAAUGUGGAGGGAAAAUGGAAAAUGUGCAAAAACUCACAUAAUCUCUACCAGCGGAGUUGCUGUUGAAAUUUUCCAUUUUCGUGUGUGAAAAUGAAGUGACCUAAUAUUUGUAUUCCUAUUCUUCUCCAUAACCAUAAUAUAAACAUAGUAGUAAAUCAGGAUCUCUCAAGAGAGUUAUGCUCUUAGCCUUGUAUCUCAUCACUCAAAUUUAUGGGGAACAUUUCAAUUUAAACCAUAUCUGAUGAUAAACUGGCUCUCUGGAAGUCUUUCAAGAGUUGGCUACUUGGUUUUGAAGAGCAAGCUAUGAAUAGAUUCAGCCGUCAUAUGCACAUUUUGCUUUUCACCAUUCAUAAUUUUGCUGUGUACUGUUCAAAAAGGCACAUGCAUCUUGGCCAAAGGCAGAAAAUAAUGUGGAGAGAAUCUGUUUUUUCCUUUCUGUGUAUUAGAUUUUUACCACGCAUCCAUCUAGUACAGGCAGUCCACAAGUGAUGAACAAAAUAAAUUCUGUAAGUUUGUUCUUAAGUUGAAUGUGUAACUCCAGAAAUAGAUAGAUAGAUAGAUAGAUAUAGAUAGAUAGAUAGAUAGAUAGAUAGAUAGAUAGAUAGAUAGAUAGACAGAUGAUAGAUAGAUAUGCAAGAUUCGAAUUAACAUAGGGAAGAUUUAACACCCCUGUGGUAUUUGUUUUGCUGUCUUAUGCCCCUGUUCAGAUUUCACCUCACUUUCCGUCCCUGCGAAAAUUAAUGGAUUUUGAAAAAUUUGACUUGUUUUGAAAACCUGCAUUGGUGAAAGAAUUUCAAUUGAGACACAUUUUCCCCAUGAUAAUUCUUCCAGGAGUGAAUUUCCAUUCUGAGAUGUAGGUUUCUCUCACUUCUGUUGUCUCAUCCCCAUUCUUAACUGUGAGUCGUUUGUAAAUCGGAUGUUUGAAACUCAUGGACUCCCUGUAAUUGUUAAAGUCAGUAUUUUUAUCACACUGGUGGUGAUACAGUGUCUCCUGGCACAUGUAAUUGAAGCAGUCUAAAUUAAAGGAUGUGAGCCAGACUUUCUGACAUUUCCCAUUACCCAGCAUCUGUUGCCUGAGAAAAAUAGCCUAUUCUGCUUUGUUGUAUGCAGUGUUCCCAUUCACCUUAUAUUAGUAAUAUAAGAUUUGAAACUGGCUGAUUGAAAUACUUCACAGACUUUGAGUAUAUGCUAGCUGUUUUCAUCUGAUGACUUUUGGAUAGAGCAGGUUUUGGGUGACUCAAGGCAUAUGUUGUAGCUUUAAAAUUAUGUACUUGAAAAGCAGUAUGUGGCGAGAAGCUCAAAGGUUACAGGAGAGCAUGGAACUAUUUCUCUUUCAUACCAGAGAGUAACAUUUGACAGGCCCAAAGUUGCUUUGCUCAGGGAAUUGCAAUCAUAAUACUAACAUGUACUUGUAAUCUGUACUUCAAGAAGCUCCACCUAUGUUCCUUGUCACACUGUCUCAUCAGGUGCAAAGAUCCUCUUAUCUUCUGUCCAUCAUUCCUGUGCUGCUGUUUGUUCAGCCAAGUUUUCAUGCAUCUAUAAAGUUUUCCCGAAGGGCAGUUUUCUCUUUUCACAGAUGGCUUAGCCUUGACUUCAGGUCAUGCACUGCCAUAUGAUUUCAAUAGACUAGAUGGAAGGGAAUCUUUGACCCUCCCAUUGUUUUAGAUUACAGCUCUCAUCAUCUAUUGCCUGUAUUGGGUGUGUCUUCUAGAAACUAAAGGCCAAAACAUCAGGAGAGUUAAACAUUCUUCACCCCUGCCUUAAAUCAUCCUAGACAGUUCUUUUUCUGAAUAACCUAUCAUUUAACAGCCACUGCACAAUUUUUAUUGUUCUUUUGUCUUUUACUCCCUCUAUUUUGUGCAUGGAUUUUGGCUCAUUUGUAACUGCAAUUUUUUUGGUUUGGUUUUAAACUUGCCAGAUAUUAACAGUAACCUAUUGUUCCCACGGUGGCACAGCGGGUUAAACCGCUGAACGUGCUGUCGGAAAGGUUGGUAGUUCGAAUCCGGGGAACAGGGUGAGCUCCCGCUGUUAGCCCCAACUUCUACCAACCUAGCAAUUCAAAAACACGCAAAUGUGGGUAGAUCAAUAGAUACUGCUCCGGCAGGAAGGUAAUGGCACUCCAUGCAGUCAUGCCAGCCACAUUACCUUGGAGCUACAGACAACAGCGGCUCUUCAGCUUAGAAAUGGAGAUGAGCACCACCCCACAGAGUUGGACAUGACUAGACAAUGUCAAAGGGAAACCUUUACCUUUAUUGUUGCUAAAUGUAAACAUGAGAGAGUACUAUUUUUGAAAAAGGUUUAGACAACAUCUGAUCUUCUUGGACUCUGUUCUCCAUCAUCCCUCGCAUUUGACUGUGCUGCCAAAGGCUGAUGAAAAUUGCAGUCCAACAACAUCUGGAAGGGCAUGGUUUACCCAUUGCUGGUUUAGAAGAGUACCAUUGGCUAGUAUGCAUAAUUGCAUUUGAUAUGUUAUUGUGCUUUCAUACUUCUUUCUGUGGUUAUGCUUUCUAUAUAGAGAAGUUACAAAUUUGAACAGGGACUUUUCUUGCAAUGCAGGGAGUUUCCCACAUGGCAGGGGGUUGGAUUGAAUGGCUCUUAUGGUUUCUUCCAAAUCUAUGAUUCUAUAAAUGUAGAAAGUUUUGUAGAAUGGCAAAUAUAUUGUGUUAACAUAAUUACAUAGAGGAGGGACUAUGUUUUACUACUCAGAAAUGCUCACCAGAAUUGGGCAGUAAAUAUGUAAGCAUCUUCAUAACCAAACAAUAACGCAAUCUUGUAAUGUCCUAUAAAAUCCAUUGCCUUCUUUUUACAUGUAGAUUCUGCUUGUGAUCAUUAUGGUAGCCACUGAAUAUUGCUUCAAAACACAAACAAACCCAUAAUUCAGGCUUGUAAUUCUUAACUCACUUGGAGAAUCUCACACAUCCAGUUUGUGAUUUGGCAAUAUGCUUUUGAUCAUAUUAGGUAAUUGGAAAGCCUCUUUGCUCGAUGGGCACCCUUCAGUUUUCAAAAUAAGAAGCGUUGGUAAAUUAACUCGAUGCUGUCCUCCCUUCUCUCUGAGCUAUAGGCUCCUCAUAGGAACAAAUGAGAUGGGUAAGAAUUUUGUCUGAACUUCACUUUGGCUACUUACGGUAGAGGACAAGCCAUCACAUCUGGCUAUUCCCACAUGUGAGACUGAAAUCUGGCACUGCCCAGCACAGCACAUUAGAGGAGAACAUCCCCUGAAGGGAGUCACUGUGCUGAAAGGUCUUUAAAAGAGCGGAAGCCUUAAAUAUAUUCUGCCCUCAGCUCUUGGUGCGGGAGUCCUGAGCGUGAAAGAGGGAAGAAUAGCUGUGUGUGGAAAUCUUCAUUCAGGAGCAUAUGCAAAGGUGCAAGGGGGAAUUUCGCAGCAGCUCCCAGCACACGAUGUCAAACGAAGUUGAGCAAGUGGACAGCCUGGAAUCGCUUCAUUCACCCUACUGUGGAAAUGGACAGCCUGGAAGUUGUAAAUACUGGAUCCUGGACUUAGGUAAAGAUAAAGGUUUCCCCUGACGUUAAGUCCAGUCAUGUCUGACUCUGGGGGUUGGUGCUCAUCUCCAUUUCUAAGCCGAAGAGCUGGCGUUGUCCGUAGACACCUCCAAGGUCAUGUGGCUAGCAUGACUACAUGGAGCGCCAUUACCUUCCCGCCGGAGUGGUACCUAUUGAUCUACUCACAUUGGCAUGUUUUCGAACUGCUAGGUUGGCAGAAGCUGGAGCUAACAGCUGCCGCUCACGCCACUUUAUUUCCAUAACUAAUCAUAUAAUCCAGGGGUCCCCAAACUUUUUAAACGGGGCCAGUUCACGGUCCCUCAGACCGUUGGAAAAAAAACCCCUGUAAACAAAUUCCUCUGCACACUGCACAUCUCUUAUUUUGAAGUAAAAAAAAAACCAAACGGGAAGAAAUACAGCCUCAGUGUUAAUCAUAAUCAUAAUCAAAAUAAAAAUAAUAAAGAGUGUUGGAAGAGACACCUUGGGCCAUCUUGUCCAACCCCCUUCUACCUUUGUGCACCAAAAGCACAAGCAAAGCACCCCUGACAGAUGGCCACUCAGCCUCAAUGUUGUUAAUAAUAAUAAUAACCAUCAUCAUUAUCACCAUACAUCACACAGUCCUAAACGCCGGGGAAGUGUUCAACCUGUGAUUUUGUAAUGUGAAAUCCAGCAUACACGCGCACACACACACACACACACACACAUAUAUAUAUAUAUAUCGUUUGCUGUAUAAUUGUAUGAAUCCAUUUCUUUGAUGAUAAAUAUAGAUUUCUUUAAAAAAUCUAAGAAACAAGAGAUCUACUCACAUUGUCAUGUUUUUGAACUACUAGGUUGGCAGGAGCUGGAGCUAACAGCGGCCGCUCCCGCCGCUCCCGGGGUUUGAACCUGGGACUUUUCGGUCUGCAAGUUCAGCAGCUCUGCGCUUUAAUGCACUUUGCCACCAGGGAUCCUUGAGGAAAUUAUAGGGGGUUAUAUCAAAUUCCUUUAUAUUUAGUCAUUUAAUCCCAUUUAAUUCUAUUUAUACAGAUCCAUACAGGAAACUAGCUGCCUCACACUCUUCAGUGUUGGAACUGCUUCAUAAUUGCUAGUAGGCAGGAGGCAAGCACAUGUCCUGAAGCACUGAAGCACCCUGAAACCAUGUAGCUAUUAUAUAGCCUAUCACAUUUUACAAAUGAAACAAUGCCAUCAACAUCCGUGUAGUCAAGAUGGCCAAAUGUUAUAAAUGGCCAAGAACACAUAACCUCGGACACACAAACCUGAUCCUACUGGGAAGGGCAAGGUUCUAUCCCCUUCCCCACUGAAUUAAUUGAGGUCAGCUGCUUUUUCGCUUACAACAGAGUUUGCAACAAUUCAGGUAACACCCCCCCCCCCCAAAGGCAGAAAACAGAAGGAAGAAAGAGAGGCUGGGAUGUUUUUAGUAUCUCAGGAACUGAAACUAUGAAAUUAAUCUGGACUGUCCCUGCUAAAUCAAGACAUUAGGAGAGCAUGCUAUUAUUUCAAGGUGCUGUCCUCCAGUGCAUCUGGUUCUCACCAUCAAAAUGCAUUUCAGUAUCCUUCUUUGAGAGCCAGCAUAUUGAAUAUUUGACUAGGAUCCUGGAGGACCAGAGCAUACAAGAACAUGGAGCAAAGAUCUUUCUCUCUUGAAUUGCAAAGUUGACACCUCUGCCAUGCAGAGAAAGGACCGGGCAUUUAAGGAAAACCCAAGGUCUUCCUUCCAUGGAAAAACUACUCGUGGAAAAACUACUCGUUAGCAUGUUUCAAAAGCAGUUGUUUACUCCUUCGUAAACAUUUGCACUCCCUUCUUCUGUGAGUGAACGCCUCCCUUCUGUCAAAUACAUCAUUCUCCUCCAAACUAGAAUGCUCAUCUGGCAGCUGUUGAACUGACCUUGGCAGCGGGGAAGAAUGCGGUUCAGAAUGCCUGCUUGCGUCUCUGGUCCCAGAAUCCACUGGAACAGACUCUGGUUGUAGUUCAGGCCCAAAACCAGAGUCCUCUGGCAAAGCAGGUGCAGUGACAAUUACUGGCUGAACGAGCCCAAUCUCAGGCUGAACUACAACAACUGGCUUAUCUUGGGCAAGUCAGACACACUCAAAUAUAGAUGAAUGGAAAUACAAUCUCCCUCUGAACAAAUCUUCCUAGGAAAGACAUGUGGUAGCUUCACCUUAGAGUUGUCAUAAAUUGGAAAUAACUUGAGCAUACAGCAACAGAUCCUCCUUUUGUCUACAGCAUAAUCUGAAGUAUAUGUUUCUUUCCAAAUAAUAAUAAGUUAUUAUAUACAGCCUAUAUCCUCUCCACUUAUACCUUACAGAAACUCCUGUACAUAGAUUAGACCAGUGGUUCUCAACCCCAGGUGUUUGACCUUCAACUCCCAGAAAUCCUAACAGCUGAUAAACUGGCUGGGAUUUCUGGAAGUUGUAAGCCAAAACACCUGGGGACCCACAGGUUAAGAACCACUGGCUUAAACUAAAAAUGAAUGAUCAUCCUAAAGUCAUCAGUUCAGCUGAGACUUGAACCUGGAUUUCCCAAUUACCCUUAACCACUAUAGUGCAGUGGUUGUCCUAUGCUUCUGGUUGUGCAUGUCAUUUUACCAUGGUGGAAGAGCAGAUAUCUUUAGUAUAGAUCACUGCUUCUUAAACUGUUGGUCUGAACCACAAACGGGGUCCUCUUCACUCAAAAAAAUGGCAACGGUAAAAGGUUUCUGAAUGACAGUCUUUUACAAAAAUCUGUUGGCAACAAUGUGCACUGUUUGCAGUGAACUCUGCAGAAAAUACUUCAGCUGUACUCCACUAAAAGGAAAACCAGUCUUUUUAUCAAGACUUGCAAUUGCUGAACUACUAUCAGUAAAUGUUGAUUUUUAUACAUAUUUUAUAUAUCGAUGAAGCUGAUGUCAUGUAAAAAUUUCUCAUGCUGAAAGGAGUAAUGUGUGGAAAAGGUUUAAGAAGCCCUGUUAUAGCUAAGGGGGAGGAGGCGAGAUCGCUUUGACUCAUAUUGAACCCCCGUAGUCGUAUUGUGCUCUGUAUCUUACUGGCUCAGUUUCUUCUGUUUGUGUUUUGGAACAGUUUAUGGAUUAAAAUGAAUAAACAGUUUUUCUCACUCACUACUUAGUAUUCAUAUCCAUCUUGACAAAUGUACAUGUAUAUAAUGUAUCCUCUCCCUUCCUUCUUGAGGAUUGUAUUACUGUGGAAUGACUGCUGGGAAAGGGCGCGCAGGAAAAGAGGGUGAAGGCUGGAAUGCAGUAAACUAACCCAUGUAGCUGACAGGGUGGUGUAAAACGCUUGGACGCGGGCCAGUUAUGAAAGAAACAUGUAGCCCUUGCCUUUGUUGCACAGAUGGAAGUUGUUAAAGUGUUGCAUUAGACCCAUGCCAGAGUCAGCCAGAACAAUGGGCUGCAAAAUCUCUCCUGGAACAGCGCACAUCUGGAUGCUGUAGGGAGGCAUGUCUGCCUGUUAAUGUACUUCAGGCCCCAUUUUCCUUCCUACUUCUUGAGCUCUUUUGCACCUACUUCAUGAAUGGGAAGCUACUGUGAAAGUCUCAUUAACUUCCUGAACUUUUAAAGCAAACUCACUAUUUUUGUGACUAAGUACGUGAAAGGACUUGUGGCUUUGAAUGUAGGAAAGAAAGUUCCGUUAUUGCUGAAAUUUAUGUUUGGUGAUGUUCAAAUUAUUAUCAGGAUUUUAAACGAUAAAUGAGCUCACCCUGAUAAACACAAUCUGAGUUAGAAUCAGAGCUUGCAAACAUUAUGUUUUGGACCACAUUUACCAGAAAUCCCCAGCCAGCGCAGCCAACAAUCAGGCUGAUGGAGAGAAUUUAAGACCAGUAGUUAAAUAUAAGGUUAAACCGCUGAGCUGCUGAACUUGCUGUCUGAAAGGUUGGUGGUUCAAAUCCAGGGAGCAGGGUGAGCUCCCGCUGUUAGCCCCAGCUUCUGCCAACCUAGCAGUUCGAAAACAUGCAAAUGUGAGUAGAUCAAUAGGCACCGCUUUUGCAGGAAGGUAACAGCGCUCCAUACAGUCAUGCCGGCCACAUGGCCUUAAAGGCGUCUACAGACAAUGCUGGCUCUUCAGCUUAGAAAUGGAGUUGAGCACCAAUCCCCAGAAUUGGACACAACUGGACUUGAUGUCAGCAGAAAGCUUUUAUCUUUACCUUUACUAGUUGAAUAUAAACAUGUUUGUUCUUAUUAGAAUCACAGAAUCAUAGAGUUGGGCCAUCCAGUCCAUAGAGUAUGAUUAGAGAGCUCAUUGUCAUCUUCUCACUCAUUAUCCCUUUUAAAUAGUAUUUCUUCUUAGCAUACUUUAGGAGUAAUUCAUGCAAGCAUUCCUAUAACUAGAUGUCAGUAACAAAAAGUUGAUCUCACAUGAAUGAAUCAUUACUAAUCAGACAUCAUUAUGAUAUUUUAGGAAAUCUGAAGUUUAUUUCCUUUAUUUUGUACGGUGUUAACUUACACAUUUUGCUCCCAAGUCAUCGAAUGAUGCAAAACCAUUGGAAGCUCCUUUCUUAAAAGCCAUAGUAAUGAGGAAUUCUAGUUCCCUCUACAGAGCUAAUAAUAACUUGAGAUGUGGGAGGCCCUAUGCUGAGGAAAACAUAUAGGAGAAGGAAACUUCUCUUCAAAAGAGCUUUUUCCCAGUCCCAAUCUCCCUGAUGCUAACAACUUUGUUAUUAAUGGGCCCAUAUUCAACCUUGUCCUCAUUAGGACAACACUUGUCCCACACAUAAAACUAACAUCUUUGUGCAUUUGUUUCUCAUCCUUGGAAAGAGGUCUGCAACUCAUCUCAUGCCAGACAUUUGAUAUGAGAAGAAAACCUUAAAACAGUAUUUUCCAUGAUCAAUCAUUCAAACUUGAUGAUUAUCAAGAAAGCUCACAUUCCUGGAUGUUCUCCCCCAUGCCACCUCUCCCUUAAAAGGAAUCAUCCCAUCAAGCAUUUAGACAUAGUCAUUUCGCCUGCCUUACUCUUUCAGCUGAAUCUUGGCAAUAGCUUUGAAACCACUUCCUUUAGAUUAGUCUCAGUGAGUUCAUCAUGACUAUUCUAGAACAAGUGUCUUUUAGAAGAGUUUUGUUCUUUUGUAUGUUUCAGGAGGGAAGAAUGGAAGCACAAAAUGUGGAGAAGCCUCAAGCCAUAAAUUACUAAUUGUUCAAAAUGAAGUAUUGUCACUUACUAGGACGUGAAUUCUAUUUUGAUACUUGAAAAUAUUGUAUAUUUUAUGCAUUGCAGAAAUGCAUGUGUGCAUAAAAUAAUGAUGUGUAUUAUAUGAUCAAAACCUUAUUUGCCAAGUAUUUUAAAUUAUAAACUUCUCUUUUUCUUGUUAUUCAAAAGGUGGGGAAAUAUAAAUGAGUUAAGAGAUAGAAAUGACUGUAUACAUCAUCAAAUGUAUUGGGCAUUUCUUUUAUUCACAACAUACUUAUAUACUUACUUAUUAUACCUGGGAAGCAAUCCCACUGAAGCAUUGUAGCACACCAAAAUAUCUGAAGUCACUCUGUACCGUGCUCUGACUUAUAAGAAACACUGCUUGAAUAUCAAGCAAAAAGUAGGUGCUAGAAAUAAUAUCGUAUGAAAGCUGACUGACACAACCUGGGGAUCACAACCAGACACAGUGAAGAAGUCUGCCUUGUGCUUUACUACUCUGCUGCUGAAUACACAUGCCCAAUGUGCCUAAUGAGACAUACCGCAUUAUCACAGGAUGUCUACACCCUACCGCUGGAAAAAUUAUACUGUUUAGCCAAUAUUGCACCACCUUACAUCCGUAGGGAAGUAGCUGCCAAUAAUGAAAGGACCAAGGCAUUGACAUCUCCAGCCCAUCCUCUGUUCGGAUAUCAGCCAGCAUCCCAACGCCUUAAAUCAAGAAACAGCUUUCUAAGAUCUACAGAGAUACUCGCAGGAACACCUAAACAAGCGAGAGCCCAAAAGUAGCUGGCUAUAACCUGGAACUUCAGUCCUUGGCUGAUACUGGAUGAGAGACUCCCUCCUGGGCACACAGAAGACUGGGCGACUUGGAAGGUGUUGAACAGACUCUGCUCUGGGACCACCAGAUGCAGAUCUAAUCUUAAGAAAUGGGGCUACAAAAUGGCAAUGUGAGUGUGGAGAAGAACAAACUACAGACCACUAACUACAAUGCAGCCUGACCCCUUCCACAUACACAUUGGAGGAGGACCUUCUCACACCCUCGAUUCGCUUUUGACACGAUAAAUAAAAUAUACAUACAUACUUAUUUUAUAUUCCAACUUUCUUUCAACUUGAGAUCCAAAACAGCUUCCAAAAAGUUAAAACAAAAAACAGCUAAAUCUGCUAAAAUCCUGUUAAAAAAACUCAGGCUUAAUCAACUUACUCAUGGUUCAAAAUAAUUUAAAGCGGAUUAAAAUAUAACUUAAAAGAUAAAAGCAUAGCACACCACUUUCAAACAUCCUGUUAUAUUCCUGUUCUACAAUUUGAUAUUAAAGUGUGACUGGAUCUACACUGCCAUAUAACACAUUUUGAAUUGCAUUGAACUACAUUAUAUGGGUCUAAACUGACCAAAUAAUGUAGUUCAGACUUCAUUCUAUGGCAGUGUAAGUCAGCCCUGUGUUGUCUGGACUAGCGAGUGAAAGAAUAGCAACAUUUGCAAUAAAAAUAAUGAAAAUUAUGUUUGUUACAAUCAUAUUUUAUAUUCCUGAAAUACUUAGAAUGUACAGUCCAUUCUCUAAGAUUUCUAGUUUUACCUUUUUGCAGAUUUGAUUACAGUAGAGUCUCACUUAUCCAACACUCACUUAUCCAACGUUCUGGAUUAUCCAACGCAUUUUUGUAGUCAAUGUUUUCAAUACAUCGUGAUAUUUUGGUGCUAAAUUCGUAAAUACAGUAAUUACAACAUAAUAUUACUGCAUAUUGAACUACUUUUUCUGUCAAAUUUGUUGUUAAACAUGAUGUUUUGGUGCUUAAUUUGUAAAAACAUAACCUAAUUUGAUGUUUAAUAGGCCUUUCCUUAAUUUCUCCUUAUUAUCCAACAUAUUCGCUUAUCCAACAUUCUGCCGGCCCGUUUACGUUGGAUAAGCGAGACUCUACUGUAUUUGCAGACUUCAUUGACAUGUUCUUUCUUGGAAUCUUCCAGCGUGACUGCAUGGUCCGUUUACACUGGACAUUAAGAAUGGUAUCAUACUGGGGAUCUAGAGGUUACUAGAGAAAUAAUUGUAUCUAGAAAUCUCUAGAUCCUCCAGCAUAACUUUAUGGCCAACUUCGGAAGAAAUUUGUCAUAGAGUACUUUCUAGAGUUUCUAGAGAGGUGUUCCCUCGGGUUUGUAAAGUUUUUUUUAUUUGUUCUUUUUCUACUUUUGUGGUGAUCCUAAGUAGCAAAAAUGGAGAACUUACUUUAUAACCUUUUCAAAAUAUAAUUUGAAUCCGCCCUGAAUAAGCCUCAGAUAAUUUUGCAUUAGAAAAAGAAACCGUGAUGCCUUCUUAAGUUUAUCCUUAUUAAGGGAAAUUGUUAUUUAAAAAAAAACAAACUACACAUCCAUGCUCCAGCAACGUCUUCCUUUGAUAGGUUUAGGAAACCACUAUCAAAGACGGGACAGUCAGCUAUAAGGUUUUCAUUGAAAAAAAAACGUUAGUGGGCCAUGUCUCAUUUCUUCUUCCUCCCCAAUAGCCUCACAGUUAGGAGCCCCCGGUGACUCAAUUAGUUUAACCCUUGUGCCAGCAGGACUGCUGACCUGAAGGUUGGGCUGCUGACCUUAAGGUUCCCAGUUCGAAUCCGGGGAGAGCACCUCUGUCAGCUCCAGCUCCCCAUGUGGGGACAUGGAGAGAAACCCCCCACAAGGAUAAAAAAAAAACAUCUGGGCGUCUCCUGGUCAACAUCCUUGCAGGCAGCCCAUUCUCUCACACCAGAAGCGACUUGCAGUUUCCCAAGUCCCUCCUGACACACACCCACAAAAAACCCGUCACAGUCGGAAAUUGUCAUGAUCUUAGAGUGCAGAAUAGCAGGUAAAUACCACAAAUAACAUGAAUUUAAAAUGGCACUCUUGGCACAGUCAUGUUAAACAGAUAUAUUUUGCCAUAGUAAUAUAAAUCCUAAAAUUCUACAUUCAGUCUGGAGCAAGAACUACAUUAGACAUAGAAAUAAUAUUUUAGAAAGUAAUGCUUGAUUUGGUAAUGAGAGGACCUUUUUCUCUUUUAGAUAUUAGCAACAUGAGCAGUUUUUUCUCCCCUUUCUUUUCUCCCCGUACUUUGGCAAGCAUUUUUUUGGUGAGAAUGUUGAAUCUCCACUUUCUCUUAUGAGUGGAGUUGUUAUACUGAGAUGGUUAGGAGCUUAUAAAAGUACAUCUGGGAUAUGGGGAGGGGAGAACUUGGCAGUUGCUUUGCAGCAUGUUAGCAUGGACUUAGUCCAUUCAUUCUCUCUCCAUAGCCCAGUGCAGGUCUACCUUUAAUAUUGGUGAAGACAAGCUAGAGGGAAUAAAUGUGGAUUCCAUACAAUCCUUACAGUAUAAUUAGUCAGGAACCAGAAACAUGGGUCUUUGUUUCUGCUUAGAUUCCUAUUACUUAUUAAGAAUAUUUCAGAUGUAGGUUCCUAAUAAUUAAUAGCUGGUAGCUGUGGCGCAGGCGGGAGAGCAAACCAGCUGCAAUUAACUGCAAUGAAUUACUCUGACCAGGAGGUCAUGAGUUCGAGCCCCGCUCGGAGCCUAUGUUUGUUUGUCUUAGUUCUAUGUUAAAAGGCAUUGAAUGUUUGCCUAUAUGUGUAAUGUGAUCCGCCCUGAGUCCCCUUCGGGAUGAGAAGGGCGGAAUAUAAAUGCUGUAAAUAAAUAAAUAAAUAAACUACAGCAGUGAAAAGAGGGGAUGUGUUCGUGCCUAAGUAGAGGAAAAGUAGUUAUGGACACUGACAAUUACUCCAGUAGAAUUCCCCAACAGGUUUUCAGCCAGAACAUCUAACGAUGAGACCCAGCAUCCAAACACAGGUUUUAUACAAGUUUUUAUACAAGCCCGCCACAUAAAAAGUCUCAAUUCAACAUUGUAAAAAAAGCAAGAAAAGUAAUACAUGUGAACAAGUCUGGCACAGGCAAAGAUCUGAAGGAAAAUAUAGUUGCUUACCUGUAACUGUGUUUCUUCGAAUGGUGUUAUGUGGAAUUUGCACUUAUGGGAUUUCCCUGUGCCUGCGCAGCAUUUCGGAACCUUCUAGAACCUUUCAGUGAAACAUUUUGGCGGAGGCCCCACCCAAACUUCCCAAUAGAGUAUAUAAGGCCCUGUGGGCGGGGCCAGCCCCUGUUCCCAGCCACCAGAAAGCAGCUGAAGUACCAUGGCAUGAUCACUGCGGGGAGGAUGGGCGGAUUGUGCGAAUUCCACAGAACACCACUCGAAGAAAUACAGUUACAGGUAAGCAGCUAUAUCUUCUUCUUUGUGGUGCUUCUGUGGAAAUCGCACUUAUGAGAGACUGACAAGCUAUUUACCAGUGGCGGUGGAUCAUGCCACGCAUGAGAAAAGAACAGCCCUCCCGAACGCUGCAUCCUUCUUUGCCAGGACAUCCAGCUUGUAGUGCGAGGCAAAGGUGAGUCAAGAGGACCAAGUUGCAGCCCUGCAAAUAUCUUCCAGGGGUACUCCCUUUAGGAAUGCUUGGGACAUCGCCAAGGCUCUUGCUGAAUGAGCUAGCACGUGGUAAGGAAGAUCCCAGCCUGCCAGCAUGUAUGCUGUACAAAUGGUGGAGACUAUCCAAGAGGCCAAGCGCUGGGAAGAUAUUGGGGUCCCCAAUAGGAACAGCCGGGUGGUCUUCCUGUAAUCCUUCGUCCUAUGGAUGUAAUAUGCCAGAGUUCUCUUUUCAUCCAAGGAAUGUAAGGCCACUUCCAGGGGUAAAGAAGGGUUUUGAAAAAAAGGCUGGCAGUGUGAUGUCUUGGCACAUGUGGAAUUCGGAGACCACCUUUGGCAAGAAGGUGAUAUCAGUUCUCAUAACGACUUUAUUGUUGUGAAAUCUCAGGUAUGAGAUAUAUAAUAGGGCCUUCAAUCUAGACUCCUGGUUCUUUCUUGUCUGGGGCAUGAAGCCCUGGCACACGUGACAAGACAGGAUUAUGCCCUUCUUCCAGGCAUAAAAGGCACUUGGAAUGGCUGUCCACCUCUGGGAGUUUUCCCCCACAGGCCGUGCACCUUUUGAAAAAGGAAGCCAUAGUACUGGGCUGACAAUGGCAUUAAUCUGGGUAACCAAAUCCUUUCUGAGAGACAAAUUCUGAGGUGAAGACAGUCCGAGUCGAUAGGGUAGGAGAAUAUGGAAGUCAAAAAACAGUCCGAGUCAAGCCGAUAAGGUAAAAACUUUGUCUAGGUACAAGAGAGGUUCCUCAGUGCUGAUUGAGCGGCAGAAAAAAGGAACUGGGGCUGGCCCCGUCCACAGGGCCUUAAUUACUCUAUUGGGGAGUUUGGGCGGGGCCUCCGCCAAAACGUUUCACUGAAAGGUUCUAGAAGGUUCUGAAAUGCUACGCAGGCACAGGAAAAUCCCAUAAAUGCGAUUUCCACAUAACACCAUUUGAAGAAACACAGUUACAGAUAAGCAACUAUAUUUCCUUCAGAUCUUUGCCUGUGCCAGACUUUUUCACAUGUAUUACUUUUCUUGCUUUUUUUUUACAAUGUUGAAUUGAGACUUUUUAUGUAUUUAAAAUGUGGCUGACUUGUAUAAACAGGUUUAGCACGGCAAACUGAGAAUUGCCUUGAAUGUAUAUGAAAUAGCCCUACUUGAUUUUUUUUUGUUUUCACAGGCCAGCUUUCACUCAAGGGGGGAGAACUCAGUGCCCCUAAGAAAUGCAGCCAUUUCAUGACGUCAGAUGGCCUGAUCUGCUGGACGUAAUGCCUCUAGGGGCUACUCAGUCCAUCACCCCCAUAAUAGUAUAUAUGUAGCAUCUGGUUUUUAGAAAAUAUUACAUGGUGAACGUGGUGAACAAGUAUUACAUGGUGAACAUGAGAACUUUACUGUUUGCUUCUGUGCUCUCUUACUCACUGGCGUCUUGUGUGUGCGAUAGGUCAAAACUGACAGCCCUUAAAGGUCAUGGGACAUUUCUACUCUUGCCUUGCUGGAAAAUCAGAGACAUGGCCAUUUACAGUAUUUUUUUAGUUUGUUAGAAAAUCAAAAAAAAAUUCUAACAUGAAGAUGAGCAAUUACCUCCUGAUUGAAUUCUGCUGUUUGAAUUCUGUUUGAGUUCUUCCAGUAAUUGAAAUAGUACCUAGCAACCAUGCCUAAUAAUUGCUGAUACUAUAGUUGUAGAUGUUCUUUUGCUUAUAAUUUGCGUAUUGUAUUUGUUUACCAGUGCUUAUGUGUGACAUGGGAAUUACCAUGGUCUAUGACUAGUCUAACAAAACGGGCUGGUUGAUGUGCAUACACAGAGGGGUUUUGUUUUUAUAUAACCUUUCUGUAAUAUCUGAAAUAUUCAGGGUAUAAAAAUAAGUAUUACAACAGCAAAGACCAUUAAAUAUAAAGAAAAGCUGGGUUAAGCUUUAUUGUUAGGUUUCUCCAAGCCCCAACAUGCCCCAGCAGAAGCUAUGCCGGUUAAAUAGUGGUGUGAUACUUAGAAUUGCCAUAAAAUUCAUUUAUUAGUUUUCUCACAUCCCAUUUCCAAGAAACAUAAGGCACUGGCAGUAUAGUUAUUUACAUACACCACCCACACACUUACUUUGGACAAUGAGGUAUGUUAGAGUAAAAGAAAAUGCUACCCAGUAAGCAUAAAGUAGGCAUUUGAACCUUGCUCAUUUUUCCUUAUCCACCACACUGCCUGUUGCAUGAUAUAUAGGGAAGAUAUGGCCAUUUAGAUCAGUGGUUCUCAAAGUGUGCUCCAUGGAGCACACUCCCCUUCCUCCUCCCCCCACCCUCGAAGCUUUCUCUCUUUUCUGCUCCUCUUCCUCCCUUGCCCCCAAAAGCCUUUUUUCCUCAUCUUCCUUGCUGCCCAGAUCCUUUCCCCCUCGCCUUGCAUGCUUCCAAAACCCUACUUCUCCUCCACUGCUCAGGAGGUGCUUUGAUUGUGUUUUUCCAGCAUGUCAAAAGAGAAUGGAUAGUUUUACAAUGUAGCAACCUCAGGAGGACCAUACAUUCUCCACGGCUUUAUUACAUUGGCUCAAUUCUGUUCAGAGGAUAUCACACCAAAUCUUUCAGUGUGAUUUUCAAGAUAUCAAUCACUAUCUUGAGAAAAUAUACUUAGGUUGCAGACAACUGAACACUACUUGAAUUCACAUUGAACCUGCAACUAAUUAAUAUUAUUUCAACUGGGCAGAAAUGGCUAUUCAUAUGAGUUGGAAAAUGGCUUGUUUCCCAUGUCAACAACAAAGGAAAUGACUUCAGGCUGGCUUCAUUCAGUCCAGCACUUUUGUGUCUGAGUGCUUCAUACAGUUCAGCUGUAAGAGACUUUUAAGAGGACUACUUCCUACAUCAGUUUCAAUUCCAUAUGGGAAAUAUCUAUGUAGACUGGAAUGGGUAAAAUGUUGGCCACACGCGAUCCUCUGAGCCCCUCCCCGUGUUUUGAUUUUUUUCAAAAAAAAAUCAUGCUGCUGAAAAUUGGGAAUUGCAAUCUACUGUCUUCCAGCCAAACUACUAAGACAUUAAGUUCCUUUCUAUCAAAAUCACUACCCUUUCCCACUGGGCAUUUUUGACUUCUAUUCUCCCAUCUCAAGGUGUGUUCUCUGUUCCUCUGAUUGCACUGGCUACAUUGUAAAGCCACAUGAUGCAGUGGUUUAGGUGUUGGAUUAGGACUCCCAAGAAAUCCAGGUUCAAAUUCCCACUCGGCCAUGGAAGCCCCUUGGGUAGCCUUGGCCAAGUCACAAUUUCUCAUCCUUAGAAGAAAGCAAUGUCAAACCUCUUCUCAAUUAAUUUUGCCAAGGAAACAUCAGCAAGAAAUGUGAAAUAGGAGGACCUGUUACACAUGAAGGUCUGUCUUCAGAUAUAUCAAGUCACUGUUGUUUCAUUUCACACAUGGGAAAUACAAUAACACUUAAUAUUUAUUUUAUGACUUGAUUUUUAAGACACUUUUUAUACUUUCUUUUCUAUCGUUAUGUAAGAUUUGCUAACUGUAUUAUCAUACUGGAAAUGGGAUGUUAGGCUGAGAAUUAAUUGUUUAUCUAAUUCAUAUUGGGCCGCUUAACACAAGAUUUAGCUGACUCUUUCAUUUGCUGCUACAUGAUGCUGCCAGUAAAUGCACAGAUCCAAGAAGACCUAGAUCAGUGGUUCUCAAGCUGUGGGUCCCCAGAUGUUUUGGCCUUCAACUUCCAGAAAUCCUAACAGCUGGUAAACUGGCUGGGAUUUCUGGGAGAUGUAGGCCAAAACACCUGGGGACCCACAGCUUGAGAACCACUGGCCUAGAUAAUUGGAUAUCUCUGUGUGGACAUGAUGUGAAUUAGGCACAUAUGUGAACAUAUUAUGGUCUCUAUGUAUUUUUCUUAAUCUGGCAUGAAGUGUAUAGAGAAAAUAUUUGUGUUGGACAUUCUCCCCAGUUAUGCUUAACGUGAAACUUUUUCCCUCCAUCAUUAAACCACUGUUGGUUAUGAUGUCUUAACAAUGUUGUGUCACAAAAAUUAAGGACUGAAGUGCCAUUCUGUGUGUUAACAUUGGUUGCGCACCUUUAUAUGUAUGGUAUAGCUAUGCCGUCCUUUCCCUACGGAGCAGGACUUGGCCUAGAUCAGUGGUUCUCAACCUGGGGUCCCCAGAUGUUUUUGGCCUUCUACUCCCACAAAUCCUAACAGCUGGUAAACUGGCUGGUAUUUCUGGGAGUUGUAGGCCAAAAACAUCUGGGGACACCAGGUUGAGAACCACUGGCCUAGAUUAUAGCAUCUGCAGAUUGUGCAUACUGUAGCCAAUAGUGUCUCUUGCCCAGUUGUAUGCGAAAUAGAAAUAGGAAGGCCUGGAAAAAGAAACCAGAAAAAAAUGGGGAGAGGGGACAGGUUUUGUUUUUCUGGGUUUUUCCCAGGCCAUUUUUUUCCUGGAAAAAUUGAAAAAUGUGCAGAAUAUGUUAUUUUCCGAUGAUAAAUAAUAUAUCUAUAACAUGAUAUCCAAACUAUAUAAUAUGAAGACCUUAAUGAAAGAUUUCUGAAACUUUUUGUUUCUACAUGCUUGUUUCCAUGAUUUUUGCAGGGGUCAAAUGGCUUCCGGGUAAAACCUGGGUUUUGUCCCCAAUUAUUCCGGGUUUUUUUCCAGGCCUUCUCAUCUCUGACUCUUUCAUUUGUAUAAAAACCACCUUUUGAUCUGUGGUUUUACCACAUUGCAACAUAGCAAGGAACAUACAUUGCUGUUGUAAAUUGUCUAUGUAAUAUAAUGUCCAAGUUAUUAAAUGGGUUUUUGUUUUA